rnacentral:lncRNA from 1 species
CGGCGAGAGCCUCUGUUUUUCUCGAAGGCCGACUACCUGAGAAGAUAAAAGCAAGUCAGCAAGGUAGAUCAGUAGUUCAAAAUUGAAAGAAAAAGGUAGAAAUAAACCAUUACCUUGGGUUUGGGGGGCAGAAGACUUUUUAGGUCGACCACCAAAAAGUGUGUCCACAAUGGUAUCGACCGAGACCCCAAAAAACCGUUGGGUAUAACUGUCCCACCAAUCACCGAAGGUGUCGGUGCAAAGGGUUUCUGGAGUGGCCGGUCGAAGGUGAAAUUUCUGGCACCGUUCCUGGAACUCCUUCUUGGCGUC